ensembl:lncRNA
CUCUGUAUAGGGUAGUGGUGGCCUGAACUUGGACAAGUUACGUAACUCCUUUGGCCUUCAAGUGAAGAUAUUAAUAUCUACUUAACUAAAUUGGUUUAUAGUACUAGACUUGUCUGGCAUAUUGUCAGCAUUCAAUAAAUGUUUUUGAAUGAAUACAAAAGCACUGAGUUUAAUGUAUGUGAUAAAGCUUUGAUAAGUUGCAGCUCACUUUUGCUUUGAUUAAGAGAAAUUUUAGAGGGAUUAAAUGUAUGUGUAAAGGUGUAUAUUUGAAUCUUUGAGCUUGUUAAGUGUUUCACAUUUUAUACUUACUACUAUGUGGUAUUACCUAGGAUGUCCUUACUGACAUGCUUGGUGUCCUUUUGUAUUUUCUUGAGUUGUACACAUCCAGCAUAAAUAAAAUUAUGAUAAUUUGACCUAUUGAAAGGAAAAUAGUGUCUCACAGUUAUGUUUCUUUUGGAAUCCUAAAAUCCUGGAAUCCUGGGUUUAAGAAGGGACUGUUUGAAUUUCCCUUUAUCAAGUAUAUAUUAGUCAGUUGUUACAUGAAAGUAUAUAUUCUGUGCACUAGCACUCUAAAGAUAAGUGAGUUAUUAUUGUCAAGUAGUUACAGUUCUUUGCAUGAGCAUUUCCAGGGACAAUUCCCAAUCACUAGCUUGAUUUUUAGGAAUCUCUCUUAUGACCAUUCAAAAUUUACUUUCCUGUAACUUUCAUUUAUUGGUGUUAGCUUUACUCUUUGGGUCACAAAAAAUGUCAGAUUCUGUAAUAUAAAUAUCUUUCUUAUUAAGAUAAUUAACUUUUUUUUUUUUUCUCAAGGAGCUUCUGUUCUUCAAAUUAAACAUCACUGUAUCCUGCUGUUUCUCAAGCCUCUUCUUCAUCAUCUUUCUCACUCCCAUGAGUGCUACCAGGUCAUCUACUUACCUCUAAAGGUGUACUCUGACUCAGUGUUUGGGACAAGUAGCCUUGCCUAGCACAAUGCCAGGAGAUGCCAGUUACAACUCAGUGACAAUUGAUAGGAUGUUAGACAUGUUUAUGACCUCCUGCUGCUGCUGCUGCUGCUGCUGCUAAGUUGCUUCAGUCGUGUCCAACUCUGUGCGACCCCAUAGACGGCAGCCCACCAACCUCCCCCAUCCUGGGGAUUCUCAAGGCAAGAGUACUGGAGUGAGUUGCCAUCUCCUUCUCCAAUGCAUGAAAGUGAAAAGUGAAAGUGAAAUCAUUCAGUCUUGUCCAACUCUUAGCGACCCCGUGGACUGCAGCCCACCAGGCUCCUCCGUCCAUGGGAUUUUCCAGGCAAGACUACUGGAGUGGGGUGCCAUUGCCUUCUCCAUUAUGACCUCCUAUGGUACUUAUAAUUGGACUACACAAUUUAGCACCUAAUUAUAUACUGUCUUGUAUUGUUCAUUGUUAUAUCAUUGUAUGAUUCUUGUUCCCACAAGUAGAUUACAUGAUCUUAAAAGGCAGGGACCAUAUCUUAUACUUCUGUGUUUGCAUUCCAUUUAGUAUAGUGCUGGGCAUGGUAUUCACUUGGGAAAAUUUUAACUGAUAGAAGUAUAUUAAGUAAUUAUAGUCCCUCAGAAUUCGUGAAUUUGUCUAUGGAGCAUCUGUUAUAGCUCUGGAGUUAAGGGCACAGAGUUAGGCAAGUUACUUUUCCUUUCUCCAGGGAAUUUGUCACUAAGUGGAAGUACCAAGGUGAAGGAUUGCUUUGACUGAUGAAGUGACUUCUUCUUUUUUCCUUUAGUGUCAGACCAGGGCAGUUGAGAAGCAGAGAGGCAUGUGCCAUUGUACUACCAUUAGCAUUUUGAUACAGAUGAUGGUUGACACUUUGUCCCCUUCAUUUCUUCAGCUGGACAAGCCAACUAAUGGUGUCUGACCUGGAGAAGGAUGGGUAUCUCUUUUGGCUGAGUAGUUAGGCUAAGUGGGUUGGCAGGCUUUACUUCUUUUGUUUUGAGCGAGCAUGCUGUUUCUCAGGGCAUUAGAUCUACAGUAUUAUUUUUUAUUGUAGUAAAAUGCAGAUAAUGCAAAAUUUCCCAUUUUAAUCAUUCUUUUAAAAUUUUUUAAAUCAAAAUAUAAUUGAUUUGCAAUGUUGCAUCAGUUUCAGGUGUAUUACAAAGUGAUUCAGUUUAUAUAUAUAUAUAUAUAUUCAGUUCAGUUCAGUCGCUCAGUCAUGUCCAACUCUUUGCUACCCCAUGAAACACAGCACACCAGGCCUCCCUGUCCAUCACCAACUCUUGGAGUCCACCCAAGCCCAUGUCCAUUGAGUCAGUGAUGCCAUCCAACCAUCUCAUCCUCUGUUGUCCCCUUCUCCUCCUGCCCUCAAUCUUUCCCAGCAUCAGGGUCUUUUCCAAUGAGUCAGCUCUUCACAGCAGGUGGCCAAAGUAUUGGAGUUUCAGCUUCAACAUCAGUCCUUCCAAUGAACACCCAGGCUGAUCUCCUUCAGAAUGGACUGGUUGGGUCUCCUUGCAGUCUAAGGGACUCUCAAGAGUCUUCUCCAACACCACAGUUCAAAAGCAUCAAUUCCUCAGCACUCAGCUUUCUGUAUAAUCCAACUCUCACAUCCAUACAUGACCGCUGGAAAAACCACAGCCUUGGCUAGACAGACCUUUGUUGGCAAAGUAAUGUCUCUGCUUCUGAAUAUGCUAUCUAUGUUGGUCAUAACUUUCCUUCCAAGGAGUAAGCGUCUUUUAAUUUCAUGGCUGCAAUCACCAUCUACAGUGAUUUUGGAGCCCAGAAAAAUAAAGUCUGACACUGUUUCCACUGUUUUCCCUUCUAUUUACCAUGAAGUGACGGGCCUGGAUGCCAUGAUCUUAGUUUUCUGAAUGUUGAGCUUUAAGCCAACUUUUUCACUCUCCUCUUUCACUUUCAUCAAGAGGCUCUUUAGUUCUGCUUCACUUUCUGCCAUAUAUGUUUAUUAUUUAUGUAGGCUUCCCUGGUG